AUUGAACGCUGGCGGCAGGCUUGACACAUGCAAGUCGAGCGGGGGAAGGUAGCUUGCUACCGGACCUAGCGGCGGACGGGUGAGUAAUGCUUAGGAAUCUGCCUAUUAGUGGGGGACAACAUCUCGAAAGGGAUGCUAAUACCGCAUACGUCCUACGGGAGAAAGCAGGGGAUCACUUGUGACCUUGCGCUAAUAGAUGAGCCCAAGUCGGAUUAGCUAGUUGGUGGGGUAAAGGCAUACCAAGGCGACGAGCUGUAGCGGGUCUGAGGGGAUGAUCCGCCACACUUGGACUGAGACACGGCCCAGACGCCUACGGGAGGCAGCAGUGGGGAAUAUUGGACAAUGGGGGGAACCCUGAUCCAGCCAUGCCGCGUGUGUGAAGAAGGCCUUAUGGUUGUAAAGCACUUUAAGCGAGGAGGAGGCUACUUUAGUUAAUACCUAGAGAUAGUGGACGUUACUCGCAGAAUAAGCACCGGCUAACUCUGUGCCAGCCGCCGCAGUAA
rnacentral:rRNA from 1 species